rnacentral:rRNA from 1 species
GAUGAACGCUGGCGGCGUGCCUAAUACAUGCAAGUCGAGCGAACGGACGAGAAGCUUGCUUCUCUGAUGUUAGCGGCGGACGGGUGAGUAACACGUGGAUAACCUACCUAUAAGACUGGGAUAACUUCGGGAAACCGUAGCUAAUACCGGAUAAUAUUUUGAACCGCAUGGUUCAAAAGUGAAAGACGGUCUUGCUGUCACUUAUAGAUGGAUCCGCGCUGCAUUAGCUAGUUGGUAAGGUAACGGCUUACCAAGGCAACGAUGCAUAGCCGACCUGAGAGGGUGAUCGGCCACACUGGAACUGAGACACGGUCCAGACUCCUACGGGAGGCAGCAGUAGGGAAUCUUCCGCAAUGGGCGAAAGCCUGACGGAGCAACGCCGCGUGAGUGAUGAAGGUCUUCGGAUCGUAAAACUCUGUUAUUAGGGAAGAACAUAUGUGUAAGUAACUGUGCACAUCUUGACGGUACCUAAUCAGAAAGCCACGGCUAACUACGUGCCAGCAGCCGCGGUAAUACGUAGGUGGCAAGCGUUAUCCGGAAUUAUUGGGCGUAAAGCGCGCGUAGGCGGUUUUUUAAGUCUGAUGUGAAAGCCCACGGCUCAUCCGUGGAGGGUCAUUGGAAACUGGAAAACUUGAGUGCAGAAGAGGAAAGUGGAAUUCCAUGUGUAGCGGUGAAAUGCGCAGAGAUAUGGAGGAACACCAGUGGCGAAGGCGACUUUCUGGUCUGUAACUGACGCUGAUGUGCGAAAGCGUGGGGAUCAAACAGGAUUAGAUACCCUGGUAGUCCACGCCGUAAACGAUGAGUGCUAAGUGUUAGGGGGUUUCCGCCCCUUAGUGCUGCAGCUAACGCAUUAAGCACUCCGCCUGGGGAGUACGACCGCAAGGUUGAAACUCAAAGGAAUUGACGGGGACCCGCACAAGCGGUGGAGCAUGUGGUUUAAUUCGAAGCAACGCGAAGAACCUUACCAAAUCUUGACAUCCUUUGACAACUCUAGAGAUAGAGCCUUCCCCUUCGGGGGACAAAGUGACAGGUGGUGCAUGGUUGUCGUCAGCUCGUGUCGUGAGAUGUUGGGUUAAGUCCCGCAACGAGCGCAACCCUUAAGCUUAGUUGCCAUCAUUAAGUUGGGCACUCUAAGUUGACUGCCGGUGACAAACCGGAGGAAGGUGGGGAUGACGUCAAAUCAUCAUGCCCCUUAUGAUUUGGGCUACACACGUGCUACAAUGGACAAUACAAAGGGCAGCGAAACCGCGAGGUCAAGCAAAUCCCAUAAAGUUGUUCUCAGUUCGGAUUGUAGUCUGCAACUCGACUACAUGAAGCUGGAAUCGCUAGUAAUCGUAGAUCAGCAUGCUACGGUGAAUACGUUCCCGGGUCU